AGAAAUGAUGGGUAAUACUGUAUAAUCCCUGCGGGGGAAAGAUUUAUCGCUAUUAGAUGAGCCUACGUUAGAUUAGCUAGUUGGUAAGGUAAUGGCUUACCAAGGCUAUGAUCUAUAGCUGGUCUGAGAGGAUGAUCAGCCACACUGGAACUGAGAUACGGUCCAGACUCCUACGGGAGGCAGCAGUGGGGAAUAUUGGACAAUGGGCGAAAGCCUGAUCCAGCUAUGCCGCAUGAGUGAAGAAGGCCUUCGGGUUGUAAAACUCUUUCAAUAGGGAAGAUAAUGACGGUACCUAUAGAAGAAGUCCCGGCAAACUCUGUGCCAGCAGCCGCGGUAAUACGGAGGGGGCAAGCGUUGUUCGGAAUUAUUGGGCGUAAAGGGCACGUAGGUGGACUAGUAAGUUAAAAGUGAAAUACCAAGGCUUAACCUUGGGGCGGCUUUUAAUACUGCUAGACUAGAGGUCGAAAGAGGAUAGCGGAAUUCCUAGUGUAGAGGUGAAAUUCGU
rnacentral:rRNA from 1 species